rnacentral:rRNA from 1 species
UACGUAGGUGGCAAGCGUUGUUCGGAAUUAUUGGGCGUAAAGGGCGCGUAGGCGGUUUGUUAAGUCGGCUGUGAAAGCCCGGGGCUCAACCCCGGAGGGUCAGCCGAUACUGGCAGACUAGAGUACGGAAGAGGUAGCUGGAAUUCCCGGUGUAGCGGUGAAAUGCGUAGAUAUCAGGAGGAACACCGGUGGCGAAGGCGGGUCUCUGGGCCGAUACUGACACUGAGGAGCGAAAGCGUGGGGAGCGAACAGG